UCUCUUAUUACAUUUGAAAUAAACGAUUACUCAACACAGAUAUAAAUAGAUAUUAUAAAUAUAUAUACAGGGUGUGCGUAAUUCACGAAUCAAGAGCAAUAGCAUACAAAUUUCGCAAAAACGAAAUAAAAAGUUUUCGAUUUUUUAAUUCAACCAAUAAUUUUUGAAAUAUAAGUGUUUAAAAUUACCAAAUCAAACUAUAUGGUUAAGCAAUCGUUUAUGUUGAGUCAUUCAUACUAUUAUUGUCAAAGAUUCAAAAAAACAAGUAACUGUUUAAUUAUAUAUUUGAUUGGUCAGUUUAAAUCCUUAUAUUUUUUUUUAAACACUUGCUUGGAUUGAAGAAUUGUAAAGAAUUUUUAUCAUUUUGAUUCGCGAAUUACAGGACACCCCAUAUAUAUAUUUAUAAAUAUUUUAUAUAUAAAUUUUUUUCCAAAAAUAUGUGUGCGCGCGCGCAUGUAUGUGUGUGAUGAAACCUUGUAGCAUUUCUUCAUGAAAUUUACACACACUUCUUUUAGCUAUAUAUUAAAAGUUCCAAACGAUUAAAUGUAAGAGAUGCGUCAUACAUCAUAUAUGAAUUAUCAUUCUAACUCUCUAAAUACUGCAAUGGUUUGUACUAUGUCUUCAUUUAAGACUUUGAGGCAUCAAUAAGGACUGGGAAUUCACCUAGUUCCUCUUCUUCAGGAAUAAUUGUACGUAAGGGACCAAAAUAUUAUUGCCUCAGAUCAGUAGUUCAAGAAACAGACUGCUUGAACACAAAUGUGCUAGAUUGCUCCGUUCAGUUUAAAGCGGAUAGAAAUAUUUGUGUGGUGGGUGUACAGGUUCCCACGCAAGUUCCUGCGGUGCAUGAUAAAUGCAUGAUGAAGUCACUUAUAUUAUGAGAAUGUUAUUCUGCUGUGAACAGGCUCAUAGAGUUGGUGUGGUAUUUAACAAGGCCAGAUGGUAUCUCCUAGGAGUUUGCGCUCAAAAUGCAUUCUGUGAUUCUGUGUAUUUCUCGUUCGAAGUCUGUGAUAAUGCAGUCACGUCCGUGAUGCUCUUAUUCGAUCUAUAGUUUUUACACGCCAUUAACGUUAACAAUGGUAUUGGAUGACAAAAAAUAAGUAUGUAUUUCAGAUUUGUGAUAAGACGAGAACUACUCUUGCAUAUAUAAAUGGUGUUAUACUAUAUUCUUUUUUAAAAACGUGUCUGUGUUACUGUAAAUCCGAAAAGUCUGAUAAAAUUGUACAUAUGCUCAACUAUUCUAAUUCUAAUCACAGUUUGCUCUACAAAUAACUUCUUUAACUUGUACGAUUUAAAUUUUAUCUUUAUUAAAUCUUAUAUAUACAUUA